AGUCUAACCAUUAACCCAUCACAACACGUCCAAUAAGCCAUAUUCCUUAGUGCCAUACCUACACUUUUCCUGAACACCCCUAGGGAUGAUGACUCCAUCACCUCCCUGGGCAGCCUGUUCCAAUGCUUGACCAUACUUUCAGAGAAGAUUUUCCUAAUAUUAAACUUGAACCACCCCUGACAUAGGGGAACUGUUAGCUUGUGGCUUGAAUUGGUGAUUGAGCACCUGGUGAAGGGGUGUGCCUGGCCCAGGGAGCACAGGCAAAUUGUUUUUACCUGUACUUCCCACAGAUCUGAAGGGGUGGAGUCAGGGUGGAGCUCCCCUGGGCUCAUUAUAAGGGCCAGCCACUGAAAGGAGAAUCUCUUUUGGAUCUAGGCUGCUUUCUAGGAAGGAGUGCUGCAUGGCUAGAGAUUUACUUCACUGGUUGGGAUUCUGCAGCUGUUCAGAAGUGAAGUUCCGAACCACUGUGUGUGCCCACUGCUCAAAGCUCCUGCUCAUACCAUCUCAUUCUUCCUGCCACUCAGAACUAUCCCACCUUGGAACAGAUCUCUAGGCUCCCUCUAAGUACUGGAAGUAUACAGUGAGGUCUCCCGGAGCCUUCUCGUGUCCAGCUUGAUCAAUUCCAUCUCACUCAGCCUUUCUUCGUAGAUGUACUCCAACCCUAUGAUCAUCUUUGUGGCCCUCCUCUGGACCUGCCUCAACAGCUCCACUUCUAUUUUUUUGUUCUGGGAGAUGCAGACCUGGACACAGUACUCCAGAUGGGACCUCACAAGGGCAGAGCAGAAGCAGACAAUAACCUCUCUCGCCCUGCUGGCCACCCCUAUUUUGAUGCAGCCCAGGACACUGUUGGCCUUCCCAGCUGCAACCACACACUGCUGGAUCGUAUCAAGUUUUUCCUCCACAAGGAGCCCAAAGUCCUUCUCUGCAGAGUUGCUCUCAAUCUGAGGUCCCAUUGUAAUAAUGUUAUAAAGGAUUUAACACAUCAUCUUGUUAGUAUGCCUGAGAAAACUAAUAGACAUAAUUAAUGGUC